AGAAAAUAACAAUGAUUCCGCAAGUAGUGGCGAGCGAACGCGGAAGAGCCCAAACCAGGGUCGUUACGGCGACCCCGGGGUUGUAGGACCACGACGUGGGACCGAGAAGUGAAGCUUAACCGCCUGGGAAGGCGGGCCGCAGAGGGUGAGAGCCCCGUCAGCGAAAGCUUCUCGGCCCUAGUGGGAUCCUGAGUAGGGCGGGACCAGAGAAAUCCCGUCUGAAUCCACCGGUACCAUCCGGUAAGGCUAA
rnacentral:rRNA from 1 species